rnacentral:rRNA from 1 species
ACGUAGGAUGCAAGCGUUGUCCGGAUUUAUUGGGCGUAAAGAGUUCGUAGGCUGUUUGUUAAGUCUGAUGUUAAAGACUGGGGCUCAACCUCGGAAAUGCAUUGGAUACUGGCAGACUGGAGUGCAGUAGAGGCUAGUGGAAUUCCCAGUGUAGCGGUGAAAUGCGUAGAUAUUGGGAAGAACACCGGUGGCGUAGGCGACUAGCUGGGCUGUAACUGACGCUGAGGAACGAAAGCCAGGGGAGCGAAUGGGAUUAGAUACCCCAGUAGUCCUGGCCGUAAACGAUGGAUACUAGGCGUAGUGGGUAUCGACCCCUGCUGUGCCGCAGCUAACGCGAUAAGUAUCCCGCCUGAGUAGUACGGCCGCAAGGUUG